CACGUAGGGGGCGAGCGUUGUCCGGAUUUAUUGGGCGUAAAGAGCUCGUAGGCGGUUUCGUAAGUCGGAUGUGAAAACUCCAGGCUCAACUUGGAGACGCCAUUCGAUACUGCGAUGACUUGAGUCCGGUAGGGGAGUGUGGAAUUCCUGGUGUAGCGGUGAAAUGCGCAGAUAUCAGGAGGAACACCUACGGCGAAGGCAGCUCGCUGGGACGGUACUGACGCUGAGACGCGAAAGCGUGGGGAGCAAACAGG
rnacentral:rRNA from 1 species